AAUAGAUCAAUCUUCUUGGUGCCACUGGGUUUUAGAUCCUCUGAUAACGGGUGAAAUAAAUCCUUCUCUUGGAGAUCUUGGAGGAAAAGAUAAUUUUAAGAAUGCAGGGGGAUCACAGCAUGAGCAGCUCAGCUUUUUGCUACAAAAGUGCAAAGCAAGGUGAGAUAAUCCACAUUUAAAGCCUCUUUUGGGUGUGUUGGCCACAUCAGCACCGAGGAAACUCCAGCAAACCCCAACUGCAAUAAUUACUGAAGUUUUCCUUUAUAAAUUCUCCAUGGGAACCUCUUUGUUAUGGAGAUACCUUUCAAGAGGAAAAGAGUCCUCAGCUCUCCAUCCUCCCCUGGAGCUGGGAGGGAACAUCCAGGGCAGCUCCUCAAAUGAGAACUGGGACAAAAGGAUCCCUUCCCAAGCCUUUCUUCCACAUCUGAAAAUUUCCUGUGAAAUCCCUGUGAAAUCCAGAAAUAAUGGGGAAGGAGAAACCCCUGCAACCCAGAAAUGCUGGCUGGAGGGAAGGGAAAGGACAGGAAGCAGCGUGAAACACCCUCAUUCCAAAUGGGGUGAAUAAUAUUUAUUAUCCAAUUGUAUAUAUUUAUAUUUAUCUUU